UACAGGGGGGGCAAGCGUUGUUCGGAAUUACUGGGCGUAAAGGGCGAGUAGGCGGCCAACUAAGUCCGACGUGAAAUCCCCAGGCUUAACCUGGGAACUGCGUCGGAUACUGGAUGGCUUGAAUUCGGGAGAGGGAUGCGGAAUUCCAGGUGUAGCGGUGAAAUGCGUAGAUAUCUGGAGGAACACCGGUGGCGAAGGCGGCAUCCUGGACCGAUACUGACGCUGAGGCACGAAAGCGUGGGGAGCAAACGGG
rnacentral:rRNA from 1 species